AAAGUCGUAACAAGGUAUCCGUAGGUGAACCUGCGGAUGGAUCAUUAACAAAAAGUGAUUCAAUAGAAAUUAUGGUGGAUCUUGUCGUUUGGGGAACGGCCUGGAUUCAUUCUUCUUAUUGAAGCACUAUAAACAUUUUAUUAGGCGUCGUUUGGAAACGUUCGGCGCAAUUCCCCCCUUCUUGGAGUCUAAUAUUUUUAUUAGUGUUCUGGGGAAGAACAUGAUGUGUUUAUCGUAUUAUACAGGUUUGUAUUGUAUAGUAGACGCAUUCCUGGCUCUGUUAACAGAGUCAACACUACACGUUGUUUGGUGCAUCAUUGGUGCCAACAAUAGUUUAUACUGUCAUAACGACUAAAAAUCUUUUUGAAUUAUCAAUUCAAUACAACUGUUAGCAACGGAUCACUCGGCUCUU
rnacentral:misc_RNA from 1 species